rnacentral:rRNA from 1 species
UAGGGAAUCUUCGGCAAUGGGGGCAACCCUGACCGAGCAACGCCGCGUGAGUGAAGAAGGUUUUCGGAUCGUAAAGCUCUGUUGUAAGUCAAGAACGGGUGUGAGAGUGGAAAGUUCACACUGUGACGGUAGCUUACCAGAAAGGGACGGCUAACUACGUGCCAGCAGCCGCGGUAAUACGUAGGUCCCGAGCGUUGUCCGGAUUUAUUGGGCGUAAAGCGAGCGCAGGCGGUUUGAUAAGUCUGAAGUUAAAGGCUGUGGCUCAACCAUAGUUCGCUUUGGAAACUGUCAAACUUGAGUGCAGAAGGGGAGAGUGGAAUUCCAUGUGUAGCGGUGAAAUGCGUAGAUAUAUGGAGGAACACCGGUGGCGAAAGCGGCUCUCUGGUCUGUAACUGACGCUGAGGCUCGAAAGCGUGGGGAGCGAGCAGGAUUAGAUACCCUGGUAGUCCACGCCGUAAACGAUGAGUGCUAGGUGUUGGAUCCUUUCCGGGAUUCAGUGCCGCAGCUAACGCAUUAAGUACUCCGCCUGGGGAGUACGACCGCAAGGUUG